AUGGCCAUGCCGAUGCCGCCACCGCCGCCCGCAGGCAUGCCUCCGAUGGGGCCGAUGGGUCCGAUGGGGCCGAUGGGGCCGAUGGGACCGAUGGGUCCGCCGCCGGCAGCCGACAUGGCUGGGAUGGGGACGAUGCCAGUGAUGCACGCGGCCUUCUUCUGGGGGCACCGAGCGCAGGUACUCUUCCGCGACUGGCCCGGAGACCGUGCCGGCGCAGGUAUGUACGUCCUCUGCCUCUUCAUCGUCCUCACGCUCGCCGCGCUCGUGGAGGCCCUCUCCGCGGCGUCGAGGGGGGUCUCCAGCCGCCGGCCGGCCGUGGUGCUGGCGCUCACGGGGCUCCACGCGGUGAAGAUGGCGCUGGCCUACCUGGUGAUGCUGGCUGUCAUGUCGUUCAACGUCGGCGUCCUCCUCGCUGCCGUCGCCGGACACGCGAUCGGGUUCCUCCUCGCGCGGAGCGCCGUGUUCCGCCAAGCGACUCCGGGUGACGCGCCACAGAACGGUGCUCUCGUUCCCUCGGAGGCUGAGCCCAAACCUUAA
rnacentral:rRNA from 1 species